rnacentral:rRNA from 1 species
AACGGCCAUACCAUGCUGAAUAUACCGGUUCUGGUUAGAUCACCGAAGUCAAGCAUCAUUGGGCGCGGUCAGUACUCGGGUGGGUGACCACCUGGGAACACCGCGUGCCGUCG